AACGUAGGAGGCGAGCGUUAUCCGGAUUUACUGGGCGUAAAGCGCACGCAGGCGGCUCUGUGAGUCGGACGUGAAAGCUCUCGGCUUAACCGGGAGAGGCCGUUCGAUACUGCGGGGCUUGAGGUAGGGAGAGGAAUGCGGAAUUCCCGGUGUAGUGGUGGAAUGAGUAGAUAUCGGGAGGAACACCUGUGGCGAAAGCGGCAUUCUGGCCCCCACCUGACGAUGAGGUGCGAAAGCGUGGGUAGCAAACAGG
rnacentral:rRNA from 1 species